rnacentral:rRNA from 1 species
CCUACGGGAGACAGCAGUGAGGAAUAUUGGUCAAUGGACGAGAGUCUGAACCAGCCAAGUAGCGUGAAGGAUGACUGCCCUAUGGGUUGUAAACUUCUUUUAUAUGGGAAUAAAACGUUCCACGUGUGGGAUUUUGUAUGUACCAUAUGAAUAAGGAUCGGCUAACUCCGGGCCAGCAGCCGCGGUAAUACGGAGGAUCCGAGCGUUAUCCGGAUUUAUUGGGUUUAAAGGGAGCGUAGGUGGAUUGUUAAGUCAGUUGUGAAAGUUUGCGGCUCAACCGUAAAAUUGCAGUUGAAACUGGCAGUCUUGAGUACAGUAGAGGUGGGCGGAAUUCGUGGUGUAGCGGUGAAAUGCUUAGAUAUCACGAAGAACUCCGAUUGCGAAGGCAGUUCACUGGACUGCAACUGACACUGAGGCUCGAAAGUGUGGGUAUCAAACAGGAUUAGAUACCCCUGUAGUC